rnacentral:lncRNA from 10 species
UAGAAGGCCACUUACAGCUGGACAGCAGUGUUUGGGAAGGUCCCCUACAGGUGGCCACCGCCAGUGAGAGCCACAAUCUCUAGAAGUAAUCAGCACACACCAGCAGCAAGACAGUACUUUGGUGUACAACUACGGAUGAUGCUGAAAAAAAAGUAUUUUCAUGUUUUUUAAAAAGGAAGAAAGAAGGAUAAUUCCCUGUGCUAAUGAGUAGAUAACAAGAAACGCACCCUUAUAGACCACCGGGAAAAGUUCGCCUUUAUAAUGUAGUGAUAUGCCUCAAAGGCACUGCAGUGUGUAUGCUUUUUAGGUGUCCACAGCAGGAAAAGUAAAAGUGUUUGCACAUGGGUAUUCAUUAAGUUGCUUAUGAUAGAAAAAACUUUGAAGAAUCCUAAAUAUCUAAUAAUAGAAGACUGGUUAAAUGCAUUAUGAUAUAUCUAUUCAGUAGUAUACUUUGUAAACAUUAAUUAUUAAUAUAUGUAGAUGACUUGAUAUGGAAAGAUGUUGAAUGACAACAAAGCAUAUAUAUAUUACAUAAAUGUGCAUACAAAAAUUCCAGUUAGAUAUUUUCAAAUGUUAACAGUUAUCAUAUCCAGGUAAUGACAUUUUUUCAGGGCAUUAUUUUCUAAAUUUUUCUGUCAAUUUUAUACAAGUGCAUGACCAUAAUAUCACAUUAUUGGUGAUAUUACGUAUACGCAUAUAUGAUAUAUGCAUGUUUUCUUCUUUAUCCUUAUUAAAACUUUUUUGUCUCCAAUUCCGUAUUGUCUGAUAAGACUACUGUUUCAUCAGCUGUGUUUUAGUUAGUAUUUGCCUGACGUUCAUUCAGUUACUUUCAAUCUUUAACAUUUCUAUGCUGUUUUAUUUUAAGUUGUGUUUUUUAAUCCAAUUUGAUGGUUGCUGCCUUUAAGUAGAUGACUUUAAUCUAUUAUGAUUAACAAUACAUUUAGCCAGACAUGGUAGCUC